AGCUACCCCGGUUAGGGAGGUGCUGUCCUGGCGUCGGGUGGGGACGGGGAGCGCGUCGAGGGUGCUGCGACUUCUGCCCACCUGGCCCGGCCUCAGUCUCUGAGUUCCUGUUCCUCACAGGAGCUAAUUAUUUAUGACAGCUGCAAGGUGCCCCUCCCCCAGUUACUCAGUGCUUGGCACUCAGCACCCCUUAACUCAGCACUCAGUACCGCACUCAGCCUCUGAGGACCUGGGCAGAGGGAAGCAGGGAGUCUCCUGCGGAAACUCUUGCUCUGCCAAAGGCCUGGACAGCGAAUGAGGAAGACUUACUGCAGAAAUUCAGAGCCUAGCAACCUGGACCAGGGUGGAGGCAGCAGACGAGAGACAAAGAUGUUCCUGCGAGUCACCUGCCUGGGAGUGGAACUGAGAAGCCCUGCAUCGAGCUGGUGCGGGACAGGGAGGUAAAGCCUGCGGUGAGGAUGUGGAAGGACGAGGCCACCCCAUGGGCAGCAGCCCUCAGAGUGGGCUGGGCCCGGCAGAGGAGAAGAAGCUGGGAUGUUGAUCCUUGAUGCCCACUUGUACUGUUCUGGGGCUGGCCCCACUGGCCCCCUGGGACCCAGAGAGAAAGGCCCUCGCUCUGGGCAUCACAGGCACGCACAGCCGGAGACAGGGAGGCACCCACAGGAGGACCCUCUGCGGCCUCUCUUUCAAACUUUUUAAAUGGUCUGCAAUUUUUAUUUUGAACUGUUUUGUUCUUUCUUUUUGAGCCAGGGUCUUGCUCCGUUGGCCAGGUUGGAGGGCAGUGGCGUGCAAUCGCGGCUCACUGCAGCCUCUGCCUCCUGGGAUCAAGCGAUCCUCCUGCCUCGGGCUCCCAAAGUGCUAGGAUUACAGGCAUGAGCCACCAUGCCUGGCCUAUUUUGAACUUUGUAUAAUAAGAAAACACUUUUUCCAUCUAGAAAACAUAAAAUACACCUGGGUGUUGCAUUGCCAGGAUUUCUGUCUGGAGAGAACCGUGUUUGGACUUAGUUUGUGAUCUGAGUAAUAUCGAAGGGGAGGUGACUUUAGCCAGUGAUUAUACUAAGUAGUAUCUUAUGCAAUUUGAAAAAGCUACAUUCAAAUUCUAUUAGUUUGCUCUAGGCCUGAGUAACAUAGCCACAUAGAAAGAUAGAGUUGUUUGUUUGUUUGUUUGUUUGUUUGAGGUAAGUCUUGCUCUGUUGCCCAGGCGGGAGUGCAGUGGUGAAAUCUCAGCUCACCACAACCUCCACCUCCCAGAUUCAAGCCAUUCUCAUGCCUUCUCAUGCCUCAGCCUUCCAAGUAGCUGGGAUUAUAGGCAGGAGCAACCACACCCAGCUAAUUUUUUUCUAUUUUUAGUAGAGAUGGGUUUCACUGUGUUGGCCAGGUUGGUCUCAAACUCUUGGCCUCAAGUGAUCCUCCCACCUUGGCCUCCCCAAGUGCUGGGAUUACAGGCAAGAGCCACUGUACCCGGCCAAAAAACAGAGUUUUAUAAGUCCUGUAAAAGCAGCAGACACCCUCGGCCCAAUGUUGGCUAACUCAGCAGCAAUUACAAGGCAUUAGGGUGAAUCUUCUCAAGCAAGAAUGUGAAUGGGAAACCACCUCCAUGUAAGAUUACCCUGCGAGAGCACAACACUGCUUGGCAUAGACACAAAAAAUAAUGAGAAGUUUUACACGACUAACAAAACAGGCAUAUUUUUUUUCCCCUGAGGCAGGGUCUUGCUCUGUUACCCAGGUACAGUGGUGUGAUCUCGGCUCACUGCAGCCUCCACUUUCUAGGCUCAGUGGAUCCUCCCACCUCAGCCUCCCCAAGUAGCUGGGAGUGCAGGCCCAUGCCACCACACCCGGCUAAUUUUUGCAUUUUUUGUAGAGAUGGGUUCUCACUAUGUUGCCCAGGCUGGUCUCAAACCUCUGGGCUCAAGUGAUCCUCCCACCUUGGCCUCCCAAAGUGCUGGGAUUAUAGGUGUGAGCUACAAUGCCCUGCCCCAAUAGGCAUAACUUUUAUCAAGAAGCUGAAGUAUAUAAACGUCAAAAAUGUAGCAAUUCUUAAUUUGAGGGCAUUUAGGUAGCAUUCGCUACAAAUGAGGGGAGCACCUCUAGAAAAUAGAAAAUACACUCAAAAGGAGGAAAGUGUAUAGAAAGAACAGAAAGAGCUAGUGAAAAUGAAUGAUGCCUCUGAAAUACAGCCAGUACUGGAUGUAACUUUAUGUUAGUCAAAUGCGUAAGAACUGGCCAACGAGGCCUGGUCAGGGAACAAAGGUUUUGCAAGGACUUUGGUAAUCAGGGUGAGAUUGAUAACCAUAAUGAAAGCCACAACAUUAAUAAUAAAAGAUCAAUGACACAGACAAAUAUAUUUAUAGAUCAUUGCCUCAACUGGAGGCCCGCGAAGGCCCAGAUGUAUCACUGCUUUCAAAUUUAUUUAUAGAUCAAUGUCCUAAUGUGAUAAAAAUACUGAAAACCACAACACAAAACUAUGAAUUUUUCCUUUUCUUUACUGUGCAAGAGAUGUCAGCCCAGGUCUAUGGUUCGGGGACAACUCCUUACUCAUCUGAUGAAUGGGAUGAACGGUGUCAGAGGAGGAGUUAACCCCGCAGCCAAAUUCUAAUAAACAACGGGCUCAAGACCCUUGUCGACAAGCUCAGCCCAGACUCCAAAGUUUCACUGGAAGCAUCUCCCACAGAAAUGGCCUUCUCCAUGUUGAAUACGACCCUACUGCUACAGCUUGGUGCCGUCCAAGCUCCGGGGAGAGAAAGAUGAACUUUCAGCUCCUGGCUCAGCCAUUCCACAGACAAUUAAUAUUGCAAAAGGAAAAGACUGAGGCUACGGCGGGGCGGCCUCUGAAAGUUCAUUUCUGCCCACACGUAUCUGCCUUGAGUGUUCUAAGGCACUUACUCAUUC
ensembl:lncRNA